GGCACUGUGGCUUAGUUAAUUAAAGCACCUGUCUUGUAAACCAGAGAUCCUGGAUUCAAGUCCCAGCAGUGUCU
rnacentral:tRNA from 1 species